rnacentral:rRNA from 1 species
UACGAAGGGGGCUAGCGUUGCUCGGAAUGACUGGGCGUAAAGCGUGCGCAGGCGGUGAUGUAAGACAGGUGUGAAAUCCCCGGGCUUAACCUGGGAACUGCAUUUGUGACUGGCGAGCUAGAGUAUGGGCAGAGGGGGGUAGAAUUCCACGUGUAGCAGUGAAAUGCGUAGAGAUGUGGAGGAAUACCGAUGGCGAAGGCCAGGCCCCCUGGCCAAUACUGACGCUCAUGCACGAAAGCGUGGGGAGCAAACAGG